CCUACGGGCGGCUGCAGUGAGGAAUAUUGGUCAAUGGACGAGAGUCUGAACCAGCGAAGUAGCGUGAAGGAUGAAUGCCCUCUGGGUUGUAAACUUCUUUUAUAAAGGAAUAAAACGAGGCACGUGUGCCUCUUUGCAUGUACUUUAUGAAUAAGGAACGGCUAAAUCCGUGCCAGCAGCCGCGGUAAUACGGAGGAUCCGAGCGUUAUCCGGAUUUAUUGGGUUUAAAGGGAGCGUAGAUGGGUUGUUAAGUCAGUUGUGAAAGUUUGCGGCUCAACCGUAAAAUUGCAAUUGAUACUGGCAGUCUUGAGUACAGUUGAGGUAAGCGGAAUUCGUGGUGUAGCGGUGAAAUGCUUAGAUAUCACGAAGAACCCCGAUUGCGAAGGCAGCUUACUAAACUGUGACUGACAUUGAUGCUCGAAAGUGUGGGUAUCAAACAGGAUUAGAUACCCCUGUAGUC
rnacentral:rRNA from 1 species